rnacentral:rRNA from 1 species
UAGGAGGCAGCAGUGGGGAAUAUUGGGCAAUGGGCGAAAGCCUGACCCAGCAACGCCGCGUGAAGGAAGAAGGUCUUCGGAUUGUAAACUUCUUUUAUGAGGGACGAAGGACGUGACGGUACCUCAUGAAUAAGCCACGGCUAACUACGUGCCAGCAGCCGCGGUAAU